ACGAGGCUCUGAUCCGCCGCUAUCAUAUGCAAAUUCAAGAGCUCAAGGAUCAAGUGAAGGUCAUGGAAGAGACACAUCUGACGAAGGCUCUUGAGGAAAAGAACACCCAGAUCGACGAGCUCAAGAGCAAGGUUUUGUCGCUGGAGAAUAAACUGCUCGUCUCCACCCUUCCACAGGCAAGC